AGGCGCCACCUAGGUCACGUGACCUACGUCCCGGUACCAGCAAGUCACUGCGCCGCAGCACACGGAAUAAGGAUUAGAACCCGUCUUUUUCGUCUGUGCUGUCUGAUCCUGUACUGCUUCUUCCCAAAGAGAAACUGUUCGUGAAUUGCACCGUGCCAAAGACUGAAUCCGGGAUCCACCAACCUUUUUUCUUUGUGUUUCACCACACAUUUUUUGAAGAAUCCAGGCAAGUUUUCUUGAAAAUAUUCCAUAUUCUGAAUUCGUCUAAUUUUUUCUUCAAAGUGAUUCAGGUUUAUUAUCUUACUCGCCAUCAGAAGACACAAUGUCAGGUUGUCCAAAUAUUGGUGAUGCGAAAUUUGAUCACUUCGAAAAAGUGGUGUCCACUUCUCCAUGGCAAUGGCACAUUUUUCUUUUUGUAGUUGGUAAGUACUCUGUGGGGUGAUACUUCGAAAUUGUGGGAAUAUUCCGUUCCCCAUCACCUCUACAUCCAAUAGUUUUAGCACCAGUUGAUGAUCCUUGCCUGAAUCCGUUAUAUUGGGAAAUUGCAAAAGGGUGAUUUUUCUAAUUCUUUAAUUCCUUCUAAAAAAGAAAAAGAAAAAAAUUCCUUCUACAUUUAUUAACUGCACUUACUCAGUAAAGAACUUUCCCUUUUCUUACCUCCUUUCUUGCAUUUUUAUUUUCAUGUGUUAAUAAUCCAACACCAUCAUUAUCCUUUUUGAUGCUCAAACUGUCCCAAAUUUGUCCAGUGGGAAUCACUUCACUCUGGCUCCUGUGUUCUUUUGACAUGACCCCAUUUGUAUCAGAACUUCCUCGCUUUUUGGCACAAGAUGUUCCAGGCUUACUCUAUGCAUUCCCUGUCUGGGACCUGAUAUAAGCCAUUUCUCCAAGGAGUCCUGGUUCCUUUUAGUGGGGAAGGGUGCUUAGAAACUGGGGCAUCAUUGCUUAUAGGCCCUUUCAGUGGAGAGAGCUAAAAAAAUUUAAUGAAUAAUGAGUUUAUACCAGUACCUUCAAAAUCUAACCCAGAGGGUUCUCUUUUUCCUUUCGCCAUUUCAUAUGUGUGUCUUGUUUCUCUUACAAUGAAAACUUUGAUUCCCAACACCAAUAUAUUUACUCUUUUCAGAAGUACAAGACCAAUACCACUACCAACAAUAAACCUAAGUUCAGAAGUUCUUUGCACUUUUCUGUCCUUAGAAUAUGUAUCCUGUUCAACAAUAUAUGGUGACUGUGUUUAAAAAUUAUUUGAAUCAUAUUUUUUCCUCUGGAAUUGUCUCCUUUUUUAUUCAACUUUGGGACAAAAAUUUUACAAAAUUUUUAUUUUUAAAAUAUGUAAACUUCCAUAUCGUUCAGUCAAAACUAUAUAAAAAGCUGUUCCCAGAGAAGUCUUGCUCCCAUGCCUAUACCCUCUGCCCCAUUGCCACCCACUCCUUUUAAGUAACCAUUUUCAUUAAUUUCUGGCUUAUUCUUCCUGUGUUUUUUUUUUAAUUUGAGGUGUAAUUGACAUUAGCAUAUUAGUUUCAGGUGUACAGCAUAAUGAUUCAAUAUUUGUACUUCCUGUGUUUCUUUUUGCAAAUACAAGCAAAUUAGUGUAUAUAUUCUUGUUUCUUCUUUUUCAUUACAGAAAGAUAGUAUACUAUAUCUAUUCUUUUCACUUUCCUUAAUAAUAUGGCCUGGAAAUCACACUGUACCACUUCACAGUGCUCUUCCUCGUGGUUUUUUUUUUUAAUAUUUUAUUUCAUUUAUUGGCUUUGUUUGUUUUGGGGGGAGGUAAUUAGGUUUAUUUUACUUAUUUAUUUUAGCGGAGGUACUGGGGAUUGAACUCAGGACCUCAUGCAUGCUAGACAUAUGCUCUACCACUGAGUUCUACCCUACCCUCCUUGUUCUUUUUUUAUGUCUGUUUAAUACUUCAUUGCAUGGAUGUCCCAUGGAAUAUUUUAACAGUACUUUCAUUUCUAGGCCAGAUGACAAAGGUCUGCCAAAACCUGCAUGCAGCUGAAAUUCACUUUGGUAAUGAAUGGUUAGUAGAAUACUAUUGCUAUACUAAUAUUUUAAGACAAAAAGGCAGAAUGGAAUAUGUUUUUAAAUGUAUCUUAUAAUGUCUCUUAGAUGCUUUUGAUUGAAGAAAAGUGGGUUCAGUGAUCGGUAGGUAGAGGCUUAUAGAAUGUGGAAGGGGACCUCAGAUACUGUAAAUAUUAAAGAUGCCAUUCUUGACUCAAAAUGUGGUUUUGCAUUAAUUUACCAUGUGACCCAACAAUUCCAUUCCCAGGUAUAUUCCCACGAGAACUGAAAACACAUCCACACAAAACCUACACGAAGGUUCACAGAAGCAUUAUAUGUAAUUGCCAAAAUGUAGAAACAAUCCAAAUGUCCCUCAACUGUGAGUAGAUACGAUAUACAAUAUGGUAUAUCCAUACAAUGAAAUAUUUUUCAACAAUAAAAAGAAAUGAAGUACCCAUACGUGCUUCAAAAUGAAUGAACAUUAAACGAAGGGAGAGUUCCUUCCACAUAUUGAGUCUAUUUAUAUGAAAUGUUCAGAAAAAACAAAGUAGAUGAAUGGUUGCCUAGGGCUGGGGGUGAGAACAAGGAUUAACUGCUUGAGGAAUCUCUUUGCAGUGAUGGACAUGUUCUAAAACUGAAUUUUGGUGAUGGUUGCAUGACUCAGUAAAUUUACUAAAAAUCAUUGUUGUACACUUACAUUGGAUGAAUUUCAUGGUAUAUAAAGUGAUACCUCAAUAAAGCUGUUUAAAGAAACCAAAAA